UUUGACUCUUGACAAGCUAGAUGGAGGCUUGGAAUGAAGCGGGUCAAACGGAGCAAGUACGAAAAGGAAAGCGUAAUUUGGAUGCGAGUCUUAGGUACUCAAGGAUUAUGGGUGACGAUCAAGCAACUUUUGAAGGACCGAACACAUACUCUUGAAGCUUCCGCAUAAAUCAAGUCGGUUUAAACAAUGUUUAUGAUGUAAACUGUUUGCUAUACAACUUUUGAAAUGUUUAAACGACGUACUCAAUUAUGUUAUGUUGUAUUAUUUUAAAAUUGUAACGUUUAAACAAACCCGUAUUUUUACAAAGUAUAUGUAGUCAUAAUUACAUGUUGUUUGU